rnacentral:rRNA from 1 species
GAUGAACGCUGGCGGCGUGCCUAAUACAUGCAAGUAGAACGCUGAAGGAGGAGCUUGCUCUUCUGGAUGAGUUGCGAACGGGUGAGUAACGCGUAGGUAACCUGCCUGGUAGCGGGGGAUAACUAUUGGAAACGAUAGCUAAUACCGCAUGACAACAGUUAUUGCAUGAUAACUGUUUAAAAGGGGCAACUGCUCCACUACCAGAUGGACCUGCGUUGUAUUAGCUAGUUGGUGAGGUAACGGCUCACCAAGGCGACGAUACAUAGCCGACCUGAGAGGGUGAUCGGCCACCCUGGGACUGAGACACGGCCCAGACGCCUACGGGAGGCAGCAGUAGGGAAUCUUCGGCAAUGGACGGAAGUCUGACCGAGCAACGCCGCGUGAGUGAAGAAGGUUUUCGGAUCGUAAAGCUCUGUUGUAAGAGAAGAACGAGUGUGAGAGUGGAAAGUUCACACUGUGACGGUAUCUUACCAGAAAGGGACGGCUAACUACGUG